rnacentral:lncRNA from 1 species
GUAUAUAUAUAUUGAAUUUCAUAUAUCAUAUAAGUACCACUGCUAUGUAACGUGGCUAAAUUACAUGACUAGUAAGUUACAGAGCGAAAUGACCAAAAAUUUUUAGAGGUGGUUAACUACCGUUGGCAUAUAAUUAAAAAAUCGGCUAAACAUAUCAAAUGUUGCGGUAAUCUUUUAUCAUCUUCACUUACGAUACCAUCAUGAUUGAUUUUAAUUUUUGAAGAUAUAAUAUGACUCUAAGUUACAUUAAUUUGAUAAGGUCCAUUUCUAACACAAUCUAACUUUAUUAAAAAAAAAUUAAAUAAGGCAAAAUUAUUAUUAAUAUCGAUGACAGUCACAGUUAUUUUACAACUAUUUCAAAUAGUAUUUGAACUUCGUCAUUCAAGAAUGAAAACUAAUUUAAUUUGACCUUUGUGUAAAUAAAAAGACAAACCAUCUAACACAAAUGAUUCAUUUUUUUCUUAUUAUUUUGCAGGGUUUGAAUCAUUAUCAAUAGACUCGAAAGAGAAGAAAUUGACAGUAUCUGGGGAUAUUGAUCCAGUAAAGGUAGUGUGCAAGCUAAGAAAGUUGUGUCAAACUGAAAUAGUAUCGAUUGGACCUCUAAAAGAUGAGAAGAAGGAUUCAACAAAUACAAAUGAAGUUAUUCCACUUCAACACUUUGGAACCUAUCCAUUUUAUUAUCAGAUGACCCCACCACAAUAUUUUCAAAAUUACUACUACGUUUGAUGUGCAUAAUAAGAAAAGAAUCUUUUAUUGAGUUUGAUAAAAUACAUCUUGUGUUUUCCUUGAAUUUUAUUUUUACUUUAUAUGACCUAGAAUUGGAUUAUGCUUGUCUUCCUUCCAAAUCAUGCAAACAGAUCACUAAGAAAUUAAGCGUCACCACCAACCAUUUCUUAUUACAAGAAACAUCAUAAAUAUAUUAAUAAGAUAAAAUAUAUGUAGUGUUUGAAACAUGUAAGUCCAAGCGGUGCUUCAAUUUGUUACUAAUGAGUAACUUGGUCAAUACAUCAACUAUAUUUUCUAAAGUAUGAACUUUUUCAUGUAAUAUCUAUCAAGGUGUAAGUAAAUCUCUAAUGUGUGAUACCUCACAUCAAUAUGUUUGGUUUGGGUAUCCAUACACCUCAAUGUUUGCCAAAUAAAUGGCACAUUGACUAUCACAUUACAAUCAAACUCCACAUUGUUUAACACCCAAUUUUCUCGCCCUUUGCAUCGCUUGUCUCUAUAUAUAAGUUAUACUCAACAUAAAUGAUAAACAAUUUACAACUAGUAUAAUGACCCGUGCCAGCACGGGAAGUAAAAAACUUUUUUGAUCAUAUGUAUAGAUUUUAUAUUAUGUUAUCUUAAAGUUAUAAUUGUCGUUAUAAUUUAAAUUCGAUAUGAAAAAAAUAUCAUCUUAAUUUUGUAUAUAUUUUGAAAUAUCUAAACUUUGCAUAUAUCGAUUAAAUUAUUUGGAUUAUUAUACUUGUACUAAUUAUUUGUAGUAUAAGAUGCACUCAUUGUUAUACUUAGCAUAUGUAAUAUUUUUGCAAAAAUAUGCCGACGUACUGUAUAAUAAUAUUUGUUGACAAAAUGUAUUUUAUUAAUCAUAAAAACUAAAAAAUAUGUAUUUUUUUAUAUAUAAUAGUCAGUAUCAUAUGCAUACACGUAGUCGGCAAAUGCAAAUGUUUAAUUUUUUUACGGGUGUGCAUAAAUAUAGUUUGGGCUACAGAAACGCCGAUUGUUAUUUGUUUUUCAUUUUUACAAAACAAAUGGUCUAAUGUAAAUAUUGUAUUUUAGCGUAACAACGAUGUAAAAAAAAAAGGUUCCGCGGAUUGUUAAACUUGAAAAAUGCAUGAAUUAAUAGUCAAUGGCAGGAGGAUCUGCUUAUAUAGAAAUUGCAUGUCUAUAAUGACUUGUACGCCUUACAAAGAAAUUAAAAAUAAAACGACUUCCAAAUAAUAGGCAACUUUAGUUUUCUAAAUUAUAGCAACAACAAUUCUAAAACAUAACCAAUGAUCAUACUUUUUGAAAAACUUCACGAUACACAACAUUUUUGGUCUCCUUACAAACAUUAUUAUCUUCAUCCAGGAUGAGCAGCUUCAGACCUUUUCUUGAAGUUACUCGAGAGACAGCGACAUAAAGUUGUCCAUGCGUGAACACAGACUUAAGAAGAUAAACCCCCACUCGAGAUAAAGAUUGACUCUGGCUUUUAUUUAUUGUCAUUGCAAAACAAAGCGUCAAUGGAAAUUGCUUGCGCCUGAAUUUUAAGGGUAGUCCUGGAUCAUUCAGAAUAAGAUUCAUCUUGGGAAUGAAUACCCUGGUGCCUUCCCUUUUUCCUGUAAUUACAGUAGCAGCUAUCGUGCUCUUCCCUAGAUGUGUAACUGUCAGCCUCGUACCAUUACACAGUCCAUUGACCUGAUCGAUGUUUCUCAUCAACAUAACUGGACAUCCCACCCUUAGUUUCAACCGGUGAUUUGGAAUUCUAGAGCUCUUAAUACCAUUAAGAAAUUCCGUUGUGAACCACUCGCUCUGGACAUCAGACUUUUUCACCCAAUCGACAAAUUGAAUCAGAGCUUAAAUACUCUUUCUCUUCACCUGGAAUCACUGACAUCAUAUAUUCGUUAACAUGCUCAACCGAAUCAAGCGUUGGUGCGAGUAUUCCCUUUUCUUGGAAAAAAGAGCGGGUCACCAAUGUUAUCAUUCAAAUCGGGAUAUACAAAGUCUAUGAGUGACAUCAACGGAUUUGUUGUGUCGGAUAUGAGCAAAUCUUCGGGAAUUUCUACAUUCAUUUCACCAUUCUCAUCGUUGUCCUCUCCAAUUGAGGGUAUCCACUUGCCAAAAUUAUCAGUUUCUUCCUUCUCUGCAGGUCCCGAAGAUGCACCCAAUCUCAUAUUAACAGUAAGCCUCAACACAUUACAAUAAGUCCAUAUCUUUGAUGAAUUGAUUGAGGCAUCAACAAUAUCCUGCCUCGUUCCUUUUCGGACAACAGACAAUAUAUGCCUGAAAUCACCACUUAAAACUACUGUCAUUCCACCAAAAGGUCUAAACUCGUAUAGGGGAUCAUUCUUGGAUAUGAUAUCAUGCAUUGAUUGGUCAACUGCCUCAAAACACCAUCGGUGCAUCAUUGGAGCCUCAUCCCAAAUUAUCAACUUUGAAGCAUGCACCAGGUCUGCCUAGGACUAUCCUUUUCCAUCUUAAGCGAUGAUGCCUCAUUAAUCUCAACAGGGACUGUUAGCGUCGAGUGCACGGUUCUUCCACCUGGUAAUAGAAGAGUCGAUAUACCGCUGGAUGCAACAUUCAAUACAAUUAACCCCUUCGAUCUAACAGCAACUGACAAUGUUUUCCAUAUAAAGAUUUUUCCAGUACCACUGUAACCAUAUAUGAAAAAGAAACCAUCGUCGUCAAAAUCAACAGACUCCAUGAUCUUGUCAUGCACACAUCUUUGUUCAUCAGCUAUCAUCAGUAACAUAUCAGCGUGUGUCUUUUCCCGUUUAUCUUUGUUGUAAUUUAGCUCAUCAACGAUAAUCUUUUUUUUGAACGUUGGCAUGUCUUCUGUGUUUGCCAUGGGCAUAGAUUUGAAGUCAGUAAGCGACCGUCCAUUUUCCUGAAGCAGCAUUUCAAUUUCAAUCAAACACAUGUUCUUCAAGUCAUCGUCACCGAUACGCAGAUCUGCAUAUUAAAUGUAAAGUCACGAAAUUAAUAUUAACACCUUUGCAUGCAUAUGUGUGCACGUUGAAGAGAAACAAAAAAUAUUAGCUUUAUAUGAGAGUCCUUUAUAUUUAAACAUAUCAGCCUAAAAAAUGUGGAAAAUGCUGAAUGGUAUCGUGGAGUUAGUAACUCUUAGUUUGUUCUUUACUAUAUCCUAAAAAAAGUACCUCUUAACUACUUAAACUACUCUAAUCACCCUUUACUAUAUCCUUAAAAACACACCCCUCGAAAACAACCUUGACAUCAAGGUUGGAAUGUGCUAAAUUUCUUAAUGUGUAAUAGUCUUCAAAUGUAUCACCCUUAUCCCUAAUUUUUAAUAGUGAAGUAUUGUUUUGAUUCUCACUUUAAUUUGAAUCUUUGGUUCCACCAAGAUUCUUUACUCCUAGCUAGGUCCAAAACCUAUUAAUUCUUCUAGUGUCUCUUUUGCUACUUUUAUAAUCUCAUAUGUCAUUUUGUUCCACGUAUCAUUUUUACUUCUAUGUAGCUUCACAGAACCUUCCUUCAAAAUCUUUUGUAGGAAAACACUUUGGUUUUGAUCCUUUAAAUGUCACCAGUUGAUCCUUGUAUACCAAUCGUGCCUCUCAUCUCUGCUCUUAUCUUAACCCUUACAUCGAUAACCAAUACUAUAUGUUGGAUAGUCAAACUCUCUUCAUGUAAAACUUUAAAUUCAAACAAAUAUUUUUGUCAUAAUGUCUAAUAAGAAAUAAAUCUAUUUGAGAACAUGAAAUCCCACUCUUGUUUGUAAUAAAUUUCCUUUUUAUUUUCCUAAAGUAAGAUUAAAAGACAACAAAAAAUCUAGGAUGUAUUUACCCUAUGUAUUUAUGUCCCCGAGGCUAUACCCUCAUUCACACCUUUAAAACUUAUCAAACACUCCUUACAUGCCCACUUAGAUCCCCUCCUAUAAAAACAUUUUCUCCUUGUGGUAUAUCUUGAAUUAAACCUUUUAAAUCCUUCCAAAAUUUAACAUUAGAAUAUUUUUCCAAACCUACCUAAGGUGAGUAAACACUCAUAACAUUAAAGAUGUCUUGUUUCCUUUUAAAAAAAUAAAAUAAAUAAAGAUGUCUUACUAAACUAAAAAUUUGUGGGAUACAAUCAAAUCUCACAUCCUCUUUACAUCCACAAUAUCCUUUUUCAAUUCUUUAUCCACAAUAAUGCCUACACUAUUUCUCGAUCUAACUUUUCCAGUUUAUCAAUGCUUAAACCUUGAACUAUCUAAUUCUUUCGCCUUUUCACCUACCCACAUAGUUUCUUGUUGGCACAUAAAAUUAAUCUUCAUUUUAGUCAUAGCGUCAAUUAUUUCCAUAUAUGUUCAAGUAGGGGUGCCUUUAUUCCAUGUUCUAAAACGGAUCAUACUCUCAUUAACUAACUUAUGUACCCACACUCGUUCAUAAAGAUGUGGAAACCCUUGCAUAUUUUUUAUUGUAUUCAGGCAGCGAUGUAUCCAUCCUUGAUCAUUUAACAUUGUAUUUGAGCUAUACAACACGUUUCUUCUACGCAUUGACCCAGUGUCACACUAUUAUAUACUCGGUCCAUGUCAUAGAGAUUGAAAGUGUUUCUAUUAAAUUCAAGUGUUCAAAUUUUAAUUAGUAGAAUCUAGUCCAAGUAAUUAGUAGAAUCUAGUCCAAGUUUUUAAAUUUUUAUAAUAUAGAAUGUCGUUUAAUUAUAUAUAUUUUUGAGAUUUUUUUUAAAAAGUUACGUGUAAUUAUUUAUUGAUCCAACCUAAUGAAACUUGAUUGCAUCGGGUAAUAAAUUACAAUGAAAACCGACCCAUCCCGUGAUCACCUGUAGGCGUGGAUGCUGAAACAUGUUUGCUUAAUUUUUUUUUUAAAUAGGUAUCAUCAUCCAUAAUUAAUUUUUUUUAUACCCAUGACGAUCAUAAAUUUGUUUAAAUUUAAUUUUUUUAUUGAAUGAUUUUUCUUACAAACGACGAAAGAAUUAGAUGAUUGUAUUUUCUAUGUUAGUGGUCAUUUACUAUUAAUUGAUUUUAUUUCCCUCAUCAAUGGAACUCUCUUUAGUUCAUUAAAAAACAAUGACAUGUUGAAAGUGCUUAUCCCACUUUUACUUAAAAAAAGAGGCAAUUUUUAAGGACAAAAAACAUGAAUAUUUUUAUUUUAUUUUUCAGGAGAAGGGGAUGGUUUACAUGGUAUAAUAUGGGUUAGACUACCCGUUGUACUCUCUUUUAUUAUGUAUUAUUUUUCUGAUUACAACUCCAACAUUUAAAUAUCCGAUUGUCAUUCUUUAUCUUUUGAUAAAAUAUCUUUUUAAAUUCUGAUUUAAUGCACAUUAAGAUUAUAGAAAUCAAUACUUUUUUUAAUAAUUUCUAUAAUUAAAACAAUAAAAAUUGAAAUUCCUGUAAAUAAAAAACUAUAAUAUCGAAUAAGUAAACUUAUUUUGAAUAUUUUCUACAACUAAUUAGUUACCUUAUUUUUAACUUCCAUUUAAAAUUUAAAGUUGACCAUAAUUUUUUUCCGUUAAUUUUAAAUUAGCAACCACAUAAUAUCAAAUAAGUUAUUUGUCCCAAAUUUUUUAUUUCAUACUUUGAUUGAUUCUCUUGAUUCUGAGAACAUGCUUGCUUGGUUUGAUUUUUUUUUUUUAAUGAUGGUUCAUUGAUCUAAUGUUUACCAAGAAUAGUAGAAACAUGAAUUGAAGAAAGGGAUGAGGGUCAAGAUUAAAUACAAAUAAGAAAAUGAGACAUACAUAUUCAUUAUUGAGUGAUUUAAAAUAUUCCUUGAAUUUAUUUUUUGUGAUUGUCUUGAUUGAUGCAUUUCAAAUUUUCUACAAUUUGUUUACCUUUAAUGCAAUUAAUUAUUAAUUAAUGAGUUUUAUUUAUUUAUUUUAAACAAAAGAGGAUUUUUAUUUUUUAUUUUUUUAUGAUGGUUUAAAAGUUAUUCAAUGGUGAUUGAUCAUGGAAAACGGAAAACUUGCUAUAUAUUCUUAAAUGAUUUAAAGAAUACCGUGAAUUUUUAAGAUAUCCUUGAUUGCAACAUGUCAAAGUUUCAACAAUUCAUUUAUAGUACAAAUACAUUUCACAAUUUUACAAUAUGAAUUGUUCACAUAACUUAUACUGACCAAUUUUUUUUAACUAAUGUUAGCAUGUAAGAUGUUGUUUGAUUUGUCUCAAUCAAUAUUUUCAAAUAGGAUUAUCAAAGAAUGUAUUUAUUUUUUAAAAAAGAAAAUAGGAUUUUUUUUAUGAUUAUUUUAAGAUUAUUGACCGUUAAAAAUGAUAAAUAUUGCAUUUUUUUUUACAGUAAUUAAUGCAGAUAUAUCUUGCACAUUAAUACAUAUACAAUUCUACAAAUGUAAAAUUUCUUUGUCAGAGUGAAAAAGAUAUAGUACAAAUAUCAUUCUUUUAAGAUUCACCUCGAAGCAAAUCUUUACCUUCAAAGGACAUUAAUGUUAAUAGAAUUGGUCCAUGAACCCAUCCAUGGAUCAUGCAUACUUGAUUCACCUCGAAGCAAACCUUGAGCCCAUUCUUUUUUUUGUUGAACUUAUAGAUAUAGUACAUUUGAUGUACGAUAAUUUAAAACUAUAACGAUGAACAACAAAAAACAUAUGAAUUUGAUUUAUAUAAUUUUUAUAUAUAUAGAGAUUUUAAAUUGUCUUAUUUUUGGUGAUGUUAAUAUUUUUAAAAUUAUAUUUAUACCAAUAAGAUUCAUAAAAUAUAUUUUAAUUUAUUUAACCUUUUUAAAUAUGCUUAAAAUUAUGUUAGUAUAAAAUUUAUUUAAUAUAUACCAAUUUCUCAAAUAAGUUGACUAUCUCGAAAAAUAAAAUAAAAAUAGUUUACAUAUCAUUAAUGCAUUAAAAUCAUAUGAUUCACCUUCCUUUCACCAAUAAAAGUAUAAGACCUUCCUUUCUCCAAUAAAUGUAUAAGAUAUUCUAUUAAUGGUUUUAAAUUAAUUUAAUCAAAAUACUAUGAUUCACAUUACCUUUUAAAAUUAAUAAUGGUUUUGUGUGAAUAUUAAAUAAUUAAGUUUGUUAAUAUCUCAUCAAACUACUAUUUGUAUAGAUCAAUUUUCGUUUUGUAUAUUCGAUUUAUGCUAAGAAAAAAAGCAACAUCGUUGUGUUAGAAAGAAUGAAGACAAUACAAAUAAAAAAAACUAUAAUAGUGGAUGUCCAACUCGAAUUUUUCAUUCGCACCAAUAACCAAAUUUCUAUAAUAUUCAAUAAGAUCCUAUCAAUAUUAGAAUAUUAAGAAGAAAAAAAUCAUGAUAAACAUAUGACAGUUCUUACAACCUAUUUUUGUAUAUGCACAUCAAAGUUGAAAGUACAACAUAAUCAUUAAUCUAUAGAAACACCACUAUUUUGGAAUGUGAAAUAUCAUUUACAACACAAACUGUAUCUCUAAAACUAACUACAUGGAUAGUCGUGCAAAAGAAUAAUCUUCACUUAAAAACUAAUAAAAUUCAUUCAUAUUAAUCAGAGUGUUUAAUCCAAUUUCUUCUGAGUUCACACCAUAUGUUGAUUCUUCCAUUAGAUUCGUCGUUUGAGAUCCACUUCUGCAACAAUUAAAGAUCGGGUGAAUAAAGAUCAAGAUAAAUGAACAUAGAAAAAAUAUAGAGAAGUUCGUUUAAUUGUUUUUCCAAUUGAAAAAAAUAUCAGAAAUCAAACCAUUUUUAAGAAUUAGAUAUAUGAAAAAAAUGAAUAAAAUGAAAGAGCGAUGAAGUUUUUCAAAAUUUUAUCAUGAAUCUCGAAAUUGUGUGAAAAUGUUGAAAUUAAAAAACAAAAUUUAUAGCAAAAAGACGUGAAAUUUGUGAGUUGUAACUCAAAACAUUGUGAAAAUUGCGAGUCUCAAACACAAUAUUUAUAGUCAACAUGUACCAAGCAAUCAAAAAAAUUAUUCCCUUAAUUUAUGGAUGUAGUAAUUUUUAUCAAUACCCAUUUGAAGACAUGUUUUCUCAUUAAAAAUAUGGGAAAUUCUUGCUUACCCAUUAAUAAAAGGUGGGUAACACUACCCAUUCUUUAUAUAUUAUUAAUAAAAAUAAUAGAAAACAAAUAAAUACUUUGAUUGAUGUCAACUUAGGGUUGUGUUACCCACAUUUUAUUGAUGGGUAAGGAAGUUGUCACCAACAAAACAUAUUUUCUCAAUUAUUAAGAACGGGGAUUAAAUAGUUUGCUAAAAAAUUCCAAAGCAUUAUCCGUCCAUUCACCAAACAUGUAAUGCAUAAAUAUAAACUAUUUAAUAUUAUGUAAUCCAUCAAUACCCAUUUCAUUGAGUUUGCACAUAUUUUCUCUUUAAUUUUUGAAGAUAUAAUAUGACUCUAAGUUACAUUAAUUUGAUAAGGUCCAUUUCUAACACAAUCUAACUUUAUUAAAAAAAACUUAAAUAAGGCAAAAUUAUUAUUAAUAACGAUGACAAUCACAGUUAUUUUACAACUAUUUCAGAUAGUAUUUGAAAUUCGUCAUUUAAGAAUGAAACUAAUUUAAUUUGACCUUUGUGUAAAUAAAAAGACAAACCAUCUAACACAAAUGAUUCAUUUUUUUCUUAUUAUUUUGCAGGGGUUGAAUCAUUAUCAAUAGACUCGAAAGAGAAGAAAUUGAUAGUAUCUGGGGAUAUUGAUCCAGUAAAGGUAGUGUGCAAGCUAAGAAAGUUGUGUCAAACUGAAAUAGUAUCGAUUGGACCUCUAAAAGAUGAGAAGAAGGAUUCAACAAAUACAAAUGAAUUUAUUCCACUUCAACACUUUGGAACCUAUCCAUUUUAUUAUCAGAUGACCCCACCACAAUAUUUUCAAAAUUACUACUACGUUUGAUGUGCAUAAUAAGAAAAGAAUCUUUUAUUGAGUUUGAUAAAAUACAUCUUGUGUUUUCCUUGAAUUUUAUUUUUACUUUAUAUGACCUAGAAUUGGAUUAUGCUUGUCUUCCUUCCAAAUCAUGCAAACAGAUCACUAAGAAAUUAAGCGUCACCACCAACCAUUUCUUAUUACAAGAAACAUCAUAAAUAUAUUAAUAAGAUAAAAUAUAUGUAGUGUUUGAAACAUGUAAGUCCAAGCGGUGCUUCAAUUUGUUACUAAUGAGUAACUUGGUCAAUACAUCAACUAUAUUUUCUAAAGUAUGAACUUUUUCAUGUAAUAUCUAUCAAGGUGUAAGUAAAUCUCUAAUGUGUGAUACCUCACAUCAAUAUGUUUGGUUUGGGUAUCCAUACACCUCAAUGUUUGCCAAAUAAAUGGCACAUUGACUAUCACAUUACAAUCAAACUCCACAUUGUUUAACACCCAAUUUUCUCGCCCUUUGCCUCGCUUGUCUCUAUAUAUAAGUUAUACUCAACAUAAAUGAUAAACCAUUUACAAUAUCAUUAAUUAAUUUUAACACAGGAAUUUUUAAAAAAAAAAUCAUUUGAAAAAUAUAAAGCAUGUAUCUAAUUGUGUCAUACAUGUCACACAUCCAUAAUUUAAAUGGACUAAAUAGAGCAUUAGGUAAAUGGAGCAUAGUUAUGGAUGUGUGACAUGUGGCAAAAAAAAAUCUUAGAAUUGAGAUUUAUAAUAAAAAACAAAUAUUUAUUUAAUAAAAAAAAGUAACAAAACAAAAGGUGUCCUUCGGGUCCCCUUCCUCUCAUUGCCAUAAACCUCCACCCGCUGCCGUUCAUCACCGCUGAUUGCCUUAUUAACAACAUCUCCCCACUUCCUCUCAUCGUCGUCAUGUUGCCGUCGUUACAAACAUUGCUGCUGAUGUUAUUGAUUUUCAACUUGGUUUUGCAGCCUUCUCAAAACUACAAUUAUUUCUUGUUUCAAUUAUGAUUUGGUUUCUUUGAUGGUUUUUGUGUUGACAGUUGGAUUAUUUAAGGAGAUAAUCAUCCAACGAAAUAUGUUUCAGCCAAAAAGGACAGAUUGAAGGAAACGGGGAAACAAAUCUUGAAAUGGAGGUAUACGCCGGUUGCGCGGAGACCAUAGUGAGAGGAGAGACACGAUGAAAGGAUAAGGAAACGACAUCGAUUGGUGGCGGCGGUCAUGAAACGAGAGGGCAGGAAGGAACACGUAAAAGAGGAGAGCAUAAAUUUGUUUUUUAUUAUAAAUUUCAACCUUCAGAUCUUUUUUUUGCCACAUGUCACACAUUCAUAGCCUAAGUUGACUAAUAUAGUAACUAGUAGCUAAUUGGGUAAAUGAAAGUGUAACUUGAGUGUGACGUUGAGUAACGCUUAUAUAGCCAAGGAGUUCGAUAACUAACUAUGUAUUACGCGACAUAAAUCCUGAACGCCGUUAGAGAUGACUAUGACUCUAGGAUAUGAUCAUGGCGCGCUACUGUGCGGCAAGGGCCACAAGGCUUCAUGUGCACCUUCACGGUGCUUCUUUUUGAAUAGCAUGGACCUUGGCUUUAUUGGUUCGUUUGCAAUGGGCUUUCUGCUAGUUCGAAAUAAUAACCAUAAAAAUGGGUUGAGAAAGAACGAAGAAAAUUGCUUUUUCGACAAUGAAUACUUUCUAUUGACACAAGUAAAUGACACUUUUACCCCCAGCGGCAGUUAACUGCCGUUAGGCAAUGCGCCGACAGUUAACAACCGCUGGAAGCCAGCGGCAGUUAACUGCCGUUGUGUUCGUGAUAUGAACAAAACAGCAUAGGAGUUUCCAAAACUCAAUUGUUACGUUUUUUGCUUCAAUAGGUGCGAAUUUCACAAACCAUAAGCCAUUCCAAGCCAAUUUCAAGCACAAAAUUAAUUAAGUUUUUCGAAUCCAAUUGCGUUGCUAUUUUGUGAUUGAUUUGAUAGUUUUUUUUGGUUAAAUUGCGAUUAUAGAGGUUUAUUAAUUUUAUGAUGUUAUGAUAGUUUAGGUUGUUUGAAUUGUUAGGUUUAGGUUAGAAUUGUUUAGAUUGUUAGAAUUGUAGAAUUGUUAUGAAAUUAUGGUAGAAUUGUUGUAUAAUCGUUGCGAUUAGUUUAGGUUUGUUAUGAAAUUUUGUUGUUAUGAAUUUGUGAUAGAAUUGUUACGAUUUGUUACGGUAUAAUUUUUAGAAUUAGUUUAGGUUUUGAUGAAUUAUUGUAGAAUUGUUACGACAUGAUGUAGGUUUUGAUCGCCGAUUUGUUUAUGUAGAUAUGUCUCAGAAUCAGGGAAACGUUGAGUUGAACAAGAAGAAGGAGGGUGACGACAAGAAGAAAGAAAAAUCGCCGAUGACAUGGCACGGAAUCACAUGUGAUGGAUCUUUCAAAAAGAAGGAUUCGAAGGUGCUGGUGUAUAAUCAUUCGAGGUUGAGGAGGAGCGGGAGGACAUGCUAUUUUGGUCCUCAGCCAAAAGCAGGUGCCCUAGGGACUGUCGAGGACAACCCAAUUGACUUGUGUGAUGAGGAAGAUGAUUGAAUGUAAUGUUUUGUAAUAUCUAAUUGUUUUGGAUCUUUUUUUAUGGUACAUUUUGCUUGACAUAUUGGUACUUUGAAUAAAUUUUCGUUUUAAAUAAUUUCAAUUAAAAUCGCGUUUUGAAUAAUUUCGAUUAAAGUUGCGUUUUGAAUAAUUUCGUAUUCGAAUAAAAACAAAUUAAAUCUAACGUGAAUUCAACUAAUUAAAAUUGCGUAAAGAAUAAAUAAAUUUGAAAAGUGAAUAAAUAAGAUAAUUAUUGUUCCAUUCAAAACAAAAUAUAUGUUAUUACAUUGCAUUACAUUACAUUACAUUCCAUAAUGUACCUUCCAACUACAACAAUUGUCUUGUCUCUGAAUGGGGCAAAUUCAAACUUGCUAACCAGCAGGACUCUAGUAUUCGAUUAUCAUCUUGAACGCUGGUAUUCAAGUGUCAAAAGAAUGAGGUGCAUUCCUUGACACUUGAAUACCAGCGUUCAAGACGCUUAUCGAAUUCUGGAGUCCUGCCGAUUAACAAGUUUGAAUUGCCCCAUCCAGAGUAAGACAAUUGUUGCAGUUGGAAUGUGCAUUCCAACUCCAACAAUUGUCUUGCCUUUGAAUGGGGUAAAUUCAAACUUGCCAAACAACAGGACUCAAGCAUUUUGCCUCGCAUUCAUGUUUUUCCUUUGAAAAGAAUAAAUUUUUGUUAGGCUUGCUUUAGAUGAUGGUAUUCAAGUGCCACCGAAAUGAGGUUCAUUCCUUGACACUUAAUACCUUCAUCUAAACGAAAUGGGCGAAAUGCUUGAGUCAUGGUCGUUUGACAAGUUUGAAUUACCCCAUUUCAGAGGUAAGACAAUUGUCGAGCGUUGGACGUUUAUACCGAACGUGUUCCACCCUCCUUGUGUCUCCGGUGUUGACUCCUUGGUAGAAUUCAGUCAGUUCAUCCUUGAGACCUCUUAACGUUACACCAAGGCAUCAAACCUUCAACCUCUGAGGUUCUCCGCCGUUGAAUUGUGCAUGAACGUCGAUCCACCCGGCCAUUGUUUCAAAUCUACACAAUUAGAAAUUAAAACUAAUCAAUGAAAAACUCAUUCAAACACUUGUAGUGAAAAUUUGACAUAAACUCUAAAAAUCCUAAACAAACCCUAAAAUUUUUAUAAAAUUCAAAAAUAAAAUAUAAAUUUAUGCAAUAUAACUUUAUUAUAACAUGUAUUCAUAAUAUAUGUUAAUAGCAUUUCAGAUCUACAACAUAACUAUAUUAUAAAAAAAUAUUCAAACCCUAAAAAAUUUAUAAAAUUCGAAAAAAAAUAUAAAUUCAAGCAAUAUAACUUCAUUAUAACAGAUAUUCAUAAGAUAUGUUAAUAACAUUUCAGAUCUACAACAUAACUAUAUUAUAAACAAAUUUUCAAAAUUUAAUAAUUAAACAACAACUAAAAUUAUAAACAUAUAAACACAUAUACUAACUAAAAUGUAUGACAAUAGCAUAAGUGAUAACUUACUUGUGAUUUAGUGGAAGAAAUUUUGGAUGAUUUGGUAGAAUUUUUUUAGAGAGAGUGAGUGAAAAUUUGAGAGAAAGAUGGUGAAAAUGAUGGCGUGAGUGAGUGUCUGGCUACUAACUUGGAUAUUUCACGAACACAAUGACAGUUAACUGCCGCUGGAAGGCCAGCGGUUGUUAGCUGCCAGUGCAUUGCCUAACGGCAGUUAACCGCCGUUGGGAGUAAAAGCGUCAUUUACUUGUGUCAAUAGAAAGUAUUCUAUGUCAGAAAAGCAAUUUUCAAAAACGAAUGGGAAAGGCACAGAUUGAGAUUUGGAGGAUUGUUAUUUCUACUUACUAUCGAUCUCCCUGAAUGAAGGUAAGAUCUUUAAAUGUAUUUAUUAUGUGAAAAUAAUAGAUUCUAAAAUCUUUUAAAUCAUGAUAGUUUUCUUGAAUGCAAACAUGAAUCAGAUAGUUAUAAUUUACAAUGUGGUUUUCAAAAAUUAAACUACCCACCACUAAAAGAGAGAUGGAGAGACAUGGUAUCUUUACACAAAACUUGAAGACAUAAGAUAUAUGAGUCACACCCUUAUACAAUCAGCAUUUAUCCCAUUAUUUUUUUGGGUCAUGUUAACUUAUGCCCUUAGGGCACAAGUUAAGGAGUUUAAAAUUGAAAUUAAAAAAAAAUUAUAUUGAAAGUAUAACUUUUGAAACAUUUAAGAUAUUGAAUGCACAAGUUUCAAGAAAAACUUUCUACAUUUGACUUCUUAACUUAUGCACAAAGGGCAUAAGUUAACCUUUCCCUUGUUUUUAACAGAUUUUUGACAAACCACUCACACUUAAACAUAAUAGAGAAUUGUUGUUGACACAUUUGGUUAGGCUGAGAAACACGAGUAAAAUACGUUUUUGCCCCUUCGGCAGUUAACUGCCGAGGAAUUAAAAAUAUGGUUGCAGUUAACUGCCGAGGAUAACCUCGGUAGUUUACUGCCGCCGGUUUAAUUUUUCCUCGAUAGUUAACUGCUGUGUCGUCCUAAAGCCAAUAAAUGGCAGAACCUCUUGAGGCAGAACCUGUUACAUGUGUUUUUACACAUUGUUUCAAUGCCAAAUCAUAAAGUCAAUCAAAGAAAAUUACCAACAUAAUUGAAAUUAAAAAUAUGAUACGGAAACGAACAAUUGUCAUAUAAAAAGGUCAUUGAAAUACAAACAAAGUAACAAAUGUCAUUAAAAUACAACAGAACGAACAAAAUGUCAUGAAAAUAUACACCAAGUCCUAAAAAUCUAUCCUAAACAUAAAAUACUACUACUCCUGGUCCUGUUGAUGCUGCUGGUGCCUCCUCCUCGGCCUUUGGCCUCGCUUCCUAGUCAAGAUCGCCGCGAUCUGCUCCCUAACAUGGGUCAUGACCUGAAACCACUGCUGAGGACUCAUGACCUCCUCCUGUCCUAUCUGCGCAUCAGCGUAGGCAACAACGGCACUAACCAUGUCAUAGGUGUUAGGCGAGCUUCACGCCUCAUACAGACAGGUAGGCGGUCCAUCACAGAUCCACUGGAGGUAAGUAUUACAUCAUCAUAAUCCACAUAACAGUUAGACAUGAUUGUUAGUGGAUUAUGUACCAGAGAUUGUUAUUAUGCAUGGAUGUAGAAAAAUCCUCCUUUGAUCUCAGGUGUUUUGUUCUUCAUUUUGGGUUUGUUUUCAAGAAAAAUGAUUUUUUUUUUUUUUUUUAGUUCAGAUUGUCAUGUUUGUCGUUGCGAUCCUGUUUUUGCAUUUGAUGCAUUUUUUUCAUAAUCUAGAUAAAUGCAUGCAUGUGGAUUAUAGUAGAUGUCAUGAUUAUUAAAUUUUAGGUGAUGGUAGAGUUGUGACACAGUUGUUAUUUUAGCUUUUGACGAUCAUGUUUUUGCAUUUGAUGCAUUUUUUCCAUGGUCUAAAUAAAUGCAUGCAUGUGGGUUAUAGUAGAGGUCAUGAUGAUUGAAUUUUAACUCAUGGUAAGGUUUUUACGCAAUUGUUACUUUAGCUUCUGGUACUAUAGUUAAAAAAAAUUGAUGCAUGUGGGUUAUUAUAUUGGUAUAUCAUGAUUGAUGUCAUUAUUUUCGUGAUUCAAUUGUGGGUGGUGUUAAAGAUUUAAUACAACUAAUAUUUUAACACGUGACGUUAAAUUUCCAAGUUGAUGAUAAAGAACCUUGAUUUGUUGUUUGAUUUUGUGAGUAUUCCUAAAGCUGUAACAAUUUUCAUAUUUGGUUUAUUCUUUCUUAUAUCAUUGAGCCGUACGAAAGUUGAUUUGUGUAAAUUUAUUUUGGUCAUAUCAUUGAGGUCCAGAAAGUUGAUGAUACAGAAAUUUGUGCAUUUAUGAUCAGGUUGAUUUGAUAUACAAAAAUUAAUCACACUGAAAUAUGUUAGCUUCUUUCGAUAUCAGAAUGAACAAAGGGAAUAAAAUUAACUGAUGUAUUGUUGUAUUUCUAUAUAGCGCUUUCAAUGUUAAGGGAUUAUGACUACAUUAAAAAUCUCAAAAAGGAUUUGGACAUUUGGAAAAUAGGAUUUAGAGUGCUUGAUCUUGGAUUGUGACUGGUUGUAAUGAGAAUCAACAUAUGGAGCUCAUUAUUUAUGAUGCAAAGGUUAGAGGAGUUAGUUAAGAUUUGUUGUAAUUUCCUUUAUGACUUAUUAUACUUUGUAUAAUUAUCAUGUGUGUAAUAAUGACAUUGCAUUUUCCUUCAAAAAAAAAAAAAAAAGACAUUGCAUUUAAGCCCGUUGACCAUCCCUUUAAGGUUGUUUUUGGUUCUGGUACAAAGGUGCCGAUGUCAUUUAAGGAAAUUCAAGAUGGAAAUUCAAAACUGACGUUUUAUAUGGUAUAGUUAUGUGCUUUAAUUUAUUUAUGUGUUUUCUCCGAUUAUAAGGUUAUUAUAGAUAUACAUUUUUUUUUAAGAAAUCGUCGGGUUUCUUCAUAAUUUGUGUUAGGAUACAUACCGCAUCACUCUUGGGAAAACAACUGAAUUCAAUCCUAACCAGUUUGGGUGACAUUAUGAUAGCUGCACCAAAUAUCCGAAGGCAUCAAAGUCAAAUGGUGCUAGCUAUAGAUGUACAUGCGGGAGUGAUGCUUAAUUUCCAUUUGUUUCAACAAUGUUAAUUGGUCAACGGGGUACAUAUAAUCCACAUGCAUGGAUUUAUAUGGACUUUAUAGGAAGCUGAGGAUAAAUUACAAGUCAUGGUACAUUUUCUUUAGCUUAAAAUCAGUUACGUUACCUUCAUUUUAUAAAUUAUAUAUAACUAUAUUCGCAGACAUUUUAUCCAUGUUAAUGUGCAUUAGACUAAUAUUGCAGUCAUUUCCCUUUUUAGCAUUUUGAAAACGAGGUGUGAAGAAAAAAUCUGAAAGGAAAGCGCAAAACAAUCAACCUAAUUGAUGACCAGACAUAAAGAAAAUAUAAGUGUCGCAGCAUUACCGCCGAAAGAGCAAGCUAUGAAAAAUACUUGGGUGGACAGUGGUUCACUAAAAAAAUCACCGAAGAACUUGCACGUUCGAGUUGUUCCAAAGUAGACCUUUACUGCUGAACUAUUUGACCUUCUACUAUUUUGGCGUAUCGCUUGGAUUGUAAUCCUAAACUAUCUUGACCUUGAGAUGUCAUUUGUUUUGUUCAUUUUGUCUUAUGUAAAUAUUGGUAAAAAUCACUUUUUGGUUAGUCUAUGACACUGACAGACUCUUUUAUAAACCUAAUUAUUAUGUAACAUUAAUCUGCAUGGUUGCUUCAUUGGUUCCAAUUAGUAUCAUGUUAAUUAUAAUGUUGUUUUCCUAAUCUCUUGAACAAAAUAGAACAUGUUCUUUUCCUACAACAAAGCUUUAUAAUGCUUUGGUAAAUAUUUUAGAAUGGUACAUAUAGCUGAAAUUUGUGCAAUAUGCUUGCUUGAUUUUCACAUUUAUGAAGGACAACAAUUUCUUAGAGAGGUGCAGUUAUUUCCCUUAAUUUGCUCAUUUCUCCUUUAUAACAAAGAUUUUCAAAAAUACAAUAUUCGACCCAAGCAGGGGUGGCCCUGAGGGAAGGCUUGAGGGGCGGAAUUCCAGGGCACCACUUUUUUAGGGCACCAAAAUUAUUAUUUUUAUUUAGUAGUUAGUAAUAUAUAUAUAUAUAUAUAUCUUUAAUUCGCUUUGAUUAAUUCAAUUGAAAAAAUAUUUUUAGAUAACUUUGAUUAUAAAUGAAUAUUUUGCAACAAAAAAUGCAAUAAAAAUAUUUAAAUAAUUAAAAGGGUACAAUUUAUAGUUUCGUCCAGGGCACCAAAAAUCUUAAGGCCGGCCCUGAACCCAAGCUCACGGGUUUUUAACUAGUUUCUAAUCAAAUCUAUACAAUUUAGUCAUCUCAUAGUAUCAUUUAUUUAUGUUAAUCAUGGUAAGCUGCUAAUGCACAAUGAAAUCUUACAUGAAAGCUCUCAACGAAGCUUGUUUUUUAUUUUUCUAUUUUCUAUCCAACCAAUUUAUUGUAUUUUACUAUUUCCCACCUAACAAACAAAAUAGGAUCUCUAACUCAAAGCGUGUGUUUCAUUUGUUUAUGAUACUAUGAGAUGCAGCCACGAAGCAAAAAGUAAUUAAACAACUUCAAUGAUUGCAAAACUUUUACUAUUAUUUGACCGAUUCACUCUUUUGUACGUUGUGAAGGAUUCAAACUAACAUUCACACGGUUACUAAUACUUUUGAAGAAAAACAAACAUUUUUUCAAUUGACUAGUUGACUUGACGGUCUUUAAAGUCUUCCUAUCAACCUUAUAUAUAUAGUUACCAAUUCUCAUCUUUACUUCAUCACCACUUCAUUGCUAAAAAACACUUCACUCAAAACUUGCUCCUCUAUAAUUCCUUUGCACUUGUCAUCUAUAAUUCUUAAUCAGCUCGCACAAACUCCAACAACUAUGAAGGUCAGAAUUUGAAUCUUGAAAUUCUUUUUUCUUCUUCAUUUUUCUCAUUUAAUUUACUAUGUUUUCAUGCAUGAAUUAUGUUGUUGUUGUCCCUUUUUUGCAUCCUUUUAUAUUUUAGAAUGGUAGUAAUAAUUGCUGGAUUUUAAUUCUUUGAUUUACUUUUUUUUAACAGAAAGUGUUGUUGAAAGUGGACUUUUAUAAUGAUAGAAUCAAGCAAAAAGUUAUGAAGACAGCAUCUAGCCUUCCAGGUAUAUAUAUAUUGAAUUUCAUAUAUCAUAUAAGUACCACUGCUAUGUAAUGUGGCUAAAUUAUAUGACUAGUAAGUUACAAAUGGAAAUGACCAAAAAUUUUUAGUGGUGGUUAACUACCGUUGACAUACAAUUAGAAAAUCGGCAACUAAACAUAUCAAAUGUUGCGGUAAUCUUUUAUCAUCUUCACUUACGAUACCAUCAUGAUUGAUUUUAAUUUUUGAAGAUAUAAUAUGACUCUAAGUUACAUUAAUUUGAUAAGGUCCAUUUCUAACACAAUCUAACUUUAUUAAAAAAAAAUUAAAUAAGGCAAAAUUAUUAUUAAUAUCGAUGACAGUCACAGUUAUUUUACAACUAUUUCAAAUAGUAUUUGAACUUCGUCAUUCAAGAAUGAAAACUAAUUUAAUUUGACCUUUGUGUAAAUAAAAAGACAAACCAUCUAACACAAAUGAUUCAUUUUUUUCUUAUUAUUUUGCAGGGUUUGAAUCAUUAUCAAUAGACUCGAAAGAGAAGAAAUUGACAGUAUCUGGGGAUAUUGAUCCAGUAAAGGUAGUGUGCAAGCUAAGAAAGUUGUGUCAAACUGAAAUAGUAUCGAUUGGACCUCUAAAAGAUGAGAAGAAGGAUUCAACAAAUACAAAUGAAUUUAUUCCACUUCAACACUUUGGAACCUAUCCAUUUUAUUAUCAGAUGACCCCACCACAAUAUUUUCAAAAUUACUACUACGUUUGAUGUGCAUAAUAAGAAAAGAAUCUUUUAUUGAGUUUGAUAAAAUACAUAUUGUGUUUUCCUUGAAUUUUAUUUCUACUUUAUAUGACCUAGAAUUGGAUUAUGCUUGUC